rnacentral:tRNA from 1 species
CAGAGAGCUUGCUGCUACUGGGUCUACAGGCGGUCUUGAAAACCGGCGAAGGGAAACCUUCCGUGGGUUCGAAUCCCACCCUCUCCGU